rnacentral:rRNA from 1 species
UACGGAGGAUCCAAGCGUUAUCCGGAUUUAUUGGGUUUAAAGGGUGCGUAGGUGGCUUAUUAAGUCAGUGGUGAAAGGUGUCCGCUUAACGGACGACGUGCCAUUGAUACUGAUGAGCUUGAGUACAGAUGAGGUGGGCGGAAUGAGUCAAGUAGCGGUGAAAUGCAUAGAUAUGACUCAGAACACCAAUUGCGAAGGCAGCUCACUAAGUUGUAACUGACACUGAGGCACGAAAGUGUGGGGAUCAAACAGG